UACAGCCACUCACACAGCUGUUUCCAGCCAAGGUGAGGGUUUCCUCUUAACGGUGUCGUUUACAAGUCAAUAAAGCCCCGGAGCCCCGUUUCCGGCAGCCGGUCCCACCUCGGGGGCUCUGUUGUCUCGCCCGGCAGUCAGGGUGCCCAGGGCCCGGCUGGGGGCCUCAUUCCUGCCAUAAAGACCUCCUCUCCUCAGAGGGCAGAGUUCAAAGCUCUGGCUCCCCAGGACCCCGUCCUAAACCGUCGGCCCCGCCCUGCUUUAUGGCUCCCGCUCCCCUCCCCCGCUCCCCUUCCCGCAGCACAGAGCCCAGCCUGGGCUCUUAUCUGCCCCGGAGAUAAAGGCCCGGCUCUGGGAAGCCAAAGGCGAAGGCGCCCGGGCCACUGGCCCCUGCUCCCACCGCUCUGGGGUGAGUUUAAUGAGCUCGAAGAAAGAAGGCCUCUCUCAAACCGCAGAGAAGACACUCCCUCCGGGGCUGGCUUUCUGUCUUCUAGGGGGAGGGCCGAGGGGAAACCUCCGCGCUCUCAGGGGCUCCCUGCCUCCCCGGAGGCUUCCCCAGGCCAAGGCGAUAAUGAGGGUCUGCGCGGAGUGCCGCAUCGGAGAGCACUUGGCGAAAGUCUUGACAGAGCUGGGAACCCAUCAGAUGAUGAAACUGCUUCGUGGCUCAACUCGGUGACACGGCGUAUCCAGAGAGGACCGCUGGCUUUAUCCAGAGACGUCCUGGACAGUAGCCAUUUCCAUUGAGUUAAGGAAAAGGGACACAACUCCUUGCAAGACUGGCUCUGCUCUAUGACCUUGAACAAGUUCCUUCACACUCUGCAGCAGACCUCCCCUACAAUAGGGCAGUAGGAAUAUGUAACUCUCGAGGGCCCUUUUGGAGCUGACAGUCCCCGAUGCUGCGAUUCCGGGAGUUACAAAGGACCCUUGCCUAAUCAGUGGUAUGGAUCAAAAGAGAAGAUUAUUUGUGAACAUUGAGCUGCAGGAAAGGAGAAACGCCCUCCCCAGGUUGAUGGCUGCAGGAUUCAUCUGGCUUCAUCAGAAAAAGACCAUAAAGCUGUUUUGCAAAACAGGUUGAUUUCAAUGAAGCAUCUUGUGGAUUGAUAGACUCCUGGUCAGCGCAAGAAGAGUUUGGAUCCUUGACAAGAAAUGGUCUUUAUUAUUUAAAGUAUCAACAGGGCAGAAAGAUUCCAGUUAAGGUCCAUGUGCACUAGGAGAGGUUAUUUUAGCUAAGAUGUAAGAGAUUUACAGCUUUAUUCCUCCCGGGCCCACCCAGUACCUGGCCACCAUGUGCCAGACCCUGUGCCGAGGACAAAGAAACGACAUACCUCUUCCCCCGCAGACUGGGUCUGCCAAAGGGACAGUCAUAAAGAGGAUAGUAGUUUACCGCAUGCCGUAGUUCCGCGGGGAUCCACAGGCGUGUCGAGCCCGAAGGUGGCUUGAGCAAGAAUUAGCAUCUCCAUCUUACAAAAUGGUAACCGAGGCUCAGAGAGGUGCAUUCAUUUGUCCGAGGCCACGCAGCCAGGGAGAGGAAGAGAAGUUUGCAAAUUCUGAUCUUCUGACUCGUAGGCCAGAGCUCCUUCUAUCCACUUCCGUGCCUGUCUGCACCGGAGGACCCAAACCUGAGAGGUUAUCAUCCCUCAGGGACCCCUGCACGGAGUAGGUAGGUGCUCCACGAGGAUUUGUUAGCCAACUGGGUUCUUGGCUCCACUACUCUAGACAAAGGCUUGAUUGCUUCUUGUAAGCCCUUAAUUUACUUCUCUCCAGUUCUUUCAUACCGACUGUUUGUUAUAGGAUUGUGGCUUCUGCAAAUGGAAAAUCCUAAAAGACAUUGCUCCUGCAAUCUCCUUAAGCCUGCUGGUAUUCCAAGCACAAACCUCAAAACAUGCUGCUAAUUUCCUCCAAAAAAUCGUAAGCAUGUCUCUCCAUCGCAACGGCAGGAAGACAUAGCAGAGCCUUGGAAUUAGGCAGCACUGGGUUCCUGUCACCGGCUCUCUUUGGGCAAAUAUUGGCCUAUUUCAGCCCAAGGGGUCCAAUCUAUGAAAUGGAGUUCAAGCUCCCCUUGAAAAGAUGUUGGACUGGCCAGAUGAAAUUCAUCAGAGCCUCUGCCACACCAUGGGCUUUUUAAUGACGUGAGUGGCCUUCUCUACCCCAAACUCCUUCCACGACUGGGCUUAAGCAAGUCCAUUUCCCUGGCCCAUUUUCUUCUCCGUAAGAGUUUUUCCCUCAUCACACUCUCUGGCCCACUGGUAUUUCAGAUCAACCUGAACUGAUGACCAGAAUUGGACCAUCUGAAUUAAUGAUGGCGAAUUCAGAGCCUCCCGGAUUAUUCGGUCAUCCUCCUGGACUCAGUCCGUUGACUGAGUGGCAAAGGUCCCUGCCAGCAACAGCAUUUAGAGCAGGACAAGUGUGUACCCUUGGCCCGAAAAAACACUUCGUAAUGAGGAAUGGCUUCUCUUCAUGGCUCCAGCUCUGACGACACAACCAUAGGGACUUGGGGGACCCUUUUCACUGAGAAAGCACUAGGCUCUGUGCAAUCAGAAUCAUCUUAUUGGCCAGGCUCCAUAGCUCCAGGAUCCAGCUUGUGAGCUUUUUAAAGGGUCCCACAAAAAAAAUUUGAGAGCUGACAAAAACAAAAAAACAAAAACUGGUUCUGAAACACAAAACAAAAACAGCAAAAUCAAAAUAGGUAAAUGUUUAAUUAAUUGUCUUAAAAAGCUAACACUAUGUCCCAUGCCACUUCAUAAUUGUUAAAUUUAUCACUUGUGAGCAUUUCAUUGCAUUAGAAAACAGUGUGGAGGUUAUAUAUUUGCACGUGGCAUGAAUUUCCAAAUAGAUUGAGAA